CCUACGGGCGGCUGCAGUGGGGAAUUUUGGACAAUGGGGGCAACCCUGAUCCAGCCAUUCCGCGUGAGUGAAGAAGGCCUUCGGGUUGUAAAGCUCUUUCGCAAGGGAAGAAAACUUACUCAAUAACACUGGGUGAGGCUGACGGUACCUUGAUAAGAAGCACCGGCGAACUACGUGCCAGCAGCCGCGUUAAUACGUAGGGUGCGAGCGUGCAUCGGGAUUACUGGGCGGGUUGCGUGCGCAGGCGGUGAAAUCCCCGGGCUCAACCUGGGAACUGCGUUUGAAACUACAAGGCUAGAGUAUGGCAGAGGGGGGUAGAAUUCCACGUGUAGCAGUGAAAUGCGUAGAGAUGUGGAGGAAUACCAAUGGCGAAGGCAGCCCCCUGGGUCAAUACUGACGCUCAUGCACGAAAGCGUGGGGAGCAAACAGGAUUAGAUACCCCUGUAGUC
rnacentral:rRNA from 1 species